GCGGCAUUUAAGAGGCUCCCUCCAGGUACAGUAGAAGUGCUUUUUAAGCCCUGCAGGAUUAGAGAAGUUUGAAUUGUCGUGUCUGGCAUAUUGUGCAUUCUAAAUAAAUAUUUAAGAGUAAAUACAAAAUUAUUCAGCAUUUCAAUGCUGUGCGCUUUCGCAGAAUGUAGUUUCUCUCCUAUAAAUAAAAAUGUAGAUCGGGUUUGAGAGCAGAAGGAAGACACUGUCCCUGCAUUUUAAUACCUGAAGCCUUAUUUACCAUAACAAAGCUUCAACAGAGUAGAGCUGGAAAGACCUGCAAGAUGAAUUCACCCAAGAUCCUAAUUUUCAAGGUGAAGAUGCUACGCCUGCUCAAGGUCAGCCCCACGCACAAGGCCUCCUGGCCCAGCGAGAUAUCAGCCACACCACAGGGUCAUGUUUCCAGAUGUCCUAUUUCAGGUAAAAGAAAACAAGAACACACCACUUCCCUUUGGUCUUUACGGAUUCCCCAGUGCAUUUCCAUGCGGUAUUAUUUCCGUAGGUCCUUUACAAGGUGGAGAUGUCACGACCCAGGCUUUUCCGUAAGCCAGGAAAGUCAAGUUCAGGUGUGCAAGAUCACCUGUUCAGGAAAUGACGAACUGCACGUAAGGCUCCUCUCCCAGGGCUUACCCUGUACAGAAUUUCUACAGCGGAAGCAGAAGACAAGCGCUGUGUCACGGACACAUCCAACAAGGCAUCCCACCACGCACAUCCCAACAAGGCAAUUCAGCAAGAUUUCUGGGUCCGAAAAAAAAAAGAUGGACAGAAACCUAAAUGAAAGGACAAUCCACGGCCCUGGAAAGAUGACAGGUAUCGGAGGAGCUUGGCGAGAGGUGGAGUUCAUGGUACACGGUUCCAGAUUUUCCUUCUUUCGUUACCAGCUUCUAGGAACAUGGAAAAGGAGUGU
rnacentral:lncRNA from 1 species